GUGGGGAAUAUUGCACAAUGGGCGCAAGCCUGAUGCAGCCAUGCCGCGUGUGUGAAGAAGGCCUUCGGGUUGUAAAGCACUUUCAGCGGGGAGGAAGGCGUUAAGGUUAAUAACCUCAUCGAUUGACGUUACCCGCAGAAGAAGCACCGGCUAACUCCGUGCCAGCAGCCGCGGUAAUACGGAGGGUGCAAGCGUUAAUCGGAAUUACUGGGCGUAAAGCGCACGCAGGCGGUCUGUCAAGUCGGAUGUGAAAUCCCCGGGCUCAACCUGGGAACUGCAUUCGAAACUGGCAGGCUAGAGUCUUGUAGAGGGGGGUAGAAUUCCAGGUGUAGCGGUGAAAUGCGUAGAGAUCUGGAGGAAUACCGGUGGCGAAGGCGGCCCCCUGGACAAAGACUGACGCUCAGGUGCGAAAGCGUGGGGAGCAAACAGGAUUAGAAACCCUGGUAGUCC
rnacentral:rRNA from 1 species